CUCCGUGUCUCUCUCUCAACUCUGCUGAAGACUUAACACUUACAUUUCCUCCUUCGAGCAGACACUAAACAGCUGUCACUGUGUGAGCUGCACGCUCACUUGCUGGGGGAAAACAUUUCUUACCCAGAUACUUUCUCCAGUUCUUGAAUGAAGGAAAAGAGUCAGUCUUGGCACAUUUAAAAAAGAAGAAAACAAGGUGUAUGCAAAGUGCAGAUCUUCAUGUCACAUCUCUGAACCUAAGGAACAGAAUUAAAACCUCUGGGGGAAAAAAAUAGACAAAACAUCUAUCAAAAACAUCUGCUAAUCAUCAACAUUAGUUACUGAAGCAAGCCUGCACUG